rnacentral:rRNA from 1 species
GUAGGGGGCAAGCGUUGUCCGGAUUUAUUGGGCGUAAAGAGCGUGUAGGCGGCUGGGUAGGUCCGUUGUGAAAACUCGAGGCUCAACCUCGAGACGCCGAUGGAAACCCUCCAGCUAGAGUCCGGAAGAGGAGAGUGGAAUUCCUGGUGUAGCGGUGAAAUGCGCAGAUAUCAGGAAGAACACCCGUGGCUAAGGCGGCUCUCUAGUACGGUACUGACGCUGAGACGCGAAAGCGUGGGGAGCGAACAGGAUUAGAUACCCUGGUAGUCCACGCCGUAAACGAUGGGUGCUAGGUGUAGGGGGUGUCGACUCCCUCUGUGCCGAAGCUAACGCAUUAAGCACCCCGCCUGGGGAGUACGGCCGCAAGGCUA